rnacentral:RNase_P_RNA from 20 species
UGAGUUAGUUAGGCAAUCACUGGUUUAUUGAAGCCUAAAGUGUUCUUUAGAACAAACUAGUGGGACAAAUAGACGAGAGGAAAGUCCGAGCUACAAAGGGCAGAGUGCCAGAUAACGUCUGGGAGGCGUGAGCCUACGACUAGUGCAACAGAGAGCAGACCGCCUGUGAUUAAAACACAGGUAAGGGUGAAAGGGUGUGGUAAGAGCACACCGCGUGAAUGGUAACAUUUCACGGCACGGUAAACUCCACUCGUAGCAAGACCAAAUAGGAAUCCAAUGAGUCGCCCGUUCAGGAUUCGGGUAGGUUGCUUGAGCUUGUGUGUGAAUACAAGCCUAGAGGAAUGAUUGUCCACGACAGAACUCGGCUUAUCGACUAACUCAGUUC